UGGGGAAUUGUUCGCAAUGGGCGCAAGCCUGACGACGCAACGCCGCGUGGGGGAUGAAGGUCUUCGGAUUGUAAACCCCUGUUGGGUGGGACGAACACUUUUGUGGUGAAUAUCCACGAGAGCUGACGGUACCACCUGAGGAAGCCCCGGCUAACUCUGUGCCAGCAGCCGCGGUAAUACGGGGGGGGCAAGCGUUGUCCGGAUUUAUUGGGCGUAAAGAGCUCGUAGGUGGCUCAGUAAGUCGGGUGUGAAACCUCCAGGCUCAACCUGGAGACGCCACCCGAUACUGCUGUGGCUAGAGUCCAGUAGGGGAGCGUGGAAUUCCUGGUGUAGCGGUGAAAUGCGCAGAUAUCAGGAGGAACACCAGUGGCGAAGGCGGCGCUCUGGGCUGGAACUGACACUGAGGAGCGAAAGCGUGGGGAGCGAA
rnacentral:rRNA from 1 species